CUUCGGGGGUACUCGAGUGGCGAACGGGUGAGUAACACGUGGGUAAUCUGCCCUGCACUUCGGGAUAAGCCUGGGAAACUGGGUCUAAUACCGAAUAGGACCAUUUGGCGCAUGCCUUAUGGUGGAAAGCUUUUGCGGUGUGGGAUGGGCCCGCGGCCUAUCAGCUUGUUGGUGGGGUGACGGCCUACCAAGGCGACGACGGGUAGCCGGCCUGAGAGGGUGUCCGGCCACACUGGGACUGAGAUACGGCCCAGACUCCUACGGGAGGCAGCAGUGGGGAAUAUUGCACAAUGGGCGCAAGCCUGAUGCAGCGACGCCGCGUGGGGGAUGACGGCCUUCGGGUUGUAAACCUCUUUCAGCAGGGACGAAGCGCAAGUGACGGUACCUGCAGAAGAAGCACCGGCCAACUACGUGCCAGCAGCCGCGGUAAUACGUAGGGUGCGAGCGUUGUCCGGAAUUACUGGGCGUAAAGAGCUCGUAGGUGGUUUGUCGCGUUGUUCGUGAAAACCGAGGGCUUAACCCUCGGCGUGCGGGCGAUACGGGCAGACUGGAGUACUGCAGGGGAGACUGGAAUUCCUGGUGUAGCGGUGGAAUGCGCAGAUAUCAGGAGGAACACCGGUGGCGAAGGCGGGUCUCUGGGCAGUAACUGACGCUGAGGAGCGAAAGCGUGGGGAGCGAACAGGAUUAGAUACCCUGGUAGUCCACGCCGUAAACGGUGGGUACUAGGUGUGGGUUUCCUUCCUUGGAAUCCGUGCCGUAGCUAACGCAUUAAGUACCCCGCCUGGGGAGUACGGCCGCAAGGCUAAAACUCAAAGGAAUUGACGGGGGCCCGCACAAGCGGCGGAGCAUGUGGAUUAAUUCGAUGCAA
rnacentral:rRNA from 1 species